AGAGUUUGAUCCUGGCUCAGGACGAACGCUGGCGGCAGGCUUAACACAUGCAAGUCGCACGAGAACGCUCUGGCUUCGGCCAGGGCAAGUACAGUGGCGGACGGGUGCGUAACGCGUAGAUAACCUGCCCAGAGGCGCGGGACAAUCGCGGGAAACCGCGGCUAAUACCGCACGUCGUCUGGAUCCCGCAUGGGAACCAGAUGAAAGCCUUCGGGCGCCUUUGGAUGGGUCUGCGUUGGAUUAGCUUCGUUGGUGAGGUAACGGCUCACCAAGGCAACGAUCCAUAGCUGGUCUGAGAGGACGAUCAGUCACACUGGAACUGAGACACGGUCCAGACUCCUACGGGAGGCAGCAGUGGGGAAUCUUGCACAAUGGGGUAACCCCUGAUGCAGCCAUGCCGCGUGGAGGAAGACACCCCUAUGGGGCGUAAACUCCUUUUCUGAACGAAGAAAACUCUGUAGGUUCAGAGCGAGACGGUAGUUCAGGAAUAAGCACCGGCUAACUCCGUGCCAGCAGCCGCGGUAAUACGGAGGGUGCAAGCGUUGUCCGGAAUCACUGGGUGUAAAGGGUGUGCAGGCGGGGCAGCAAGUCGGAUGUGAAAGCCCGUGGCUCAACCACGGAAGUGCCUUCGAAACUGCUGCUCUUGAGUCCCGGAGAGGCUGUCGGAAUUCGUGGUGUAGCGGUGAAAUGCGUAGAUAUCACGAGGAACACCAGAGGCGAAAGCGGACAGCUGGACGGGUACUGACGCUCAGGCACGAAAAGCGUGGGGAGCAAACAGGAUUAGAUACCCUG
rnacentral:rRNA from 1 species